CGGACUUUUGUUGCUUAGUCUUAGUCAACUGAAUUAUGUGACCAAAUAUUUUUUAGUAAUUUGCUUACCUUAUAGCUAUGGAUAUACCGUUGCUAAUCUAUUGGCAAUCUGUUAUGGAUGGCUAAAAAUCAUGUCAUCUUGAUUAACGAGAUGGCACUUAACCACAAAAUUUUCUAUCACCAACAAUUGUUUUUUCUAUUUUAACCACGGCAAAUCUCCCCAAGUAGGAUUCG